rnacentral:rRNA from 1 species
CACGUAGGGCGCAAGCGUUGUCCGGAAUUAUUGGGCGUAAAGAGCUCGUAGGCGGUUUGUCGCGUCGGCUGUGAAAUCCUGGGGCUUAACUCCGGGCCUGCAGUCGAUACGGGCAGACUUGAGUGUGGUAGGGGAGACUGGAAUUCCUGGUGUAGCGGUGAAAUGCGCAGAUAUCAGGAGGAACACCGGUAGCGAAGGCGGGUCUCUGGGCCAUUACUGACGCUGAGGAGCGAAAGCGUGGGGAGCGAACAGG